rnacentral:rRNA from 1 species
AACGAACGCUGGCGGCGUGCUUAACACAUGCAAGUCGAACGCGAAAGGGACUUCGGUCCUGAGUAAAGUGGCGCACGGGUGAGUAACGCGUAGAUAACCUGUCUUCAUGUCUGGAAUAAUACGCCGAAAGGGGUACUAAUACCGGAUAUUCUUGCUUUUCAUAAGUUAUGCAAGCAAAGGUGGCCUCUGCAUAUGCUACUGCAUGAAGAGGGGUCUGCGUACCAUUAGCUAGUAGGUGGGGUAAUGGCCUACCUAGGCGACGAUGGUUAGCGGGUCUGAGAGGAUGAUCCGCCACACUGGCACUGGAACACGGGCCAGACUCCUACGGGAGGCAGCAGUGAGGAAUAUUGCGCAAUGGGGGAAACCCUGACGCAGCGACGCCGCGUGAGUGAGGAAAGGCCUUCGGGUCGUAAAGCUCUGUCAAGAGGAAAGAAGUGUACAAUGGCUAAUACCUGUUGUAUUUGAUGGUACCUCUAAAGGAAGCACCGGCUAACUCCGUGCCAGCCGCUGC